rnacentral:pre_miRNA from 1 species
UUCAGAGCCCUCCUACAAUGUGAGAAAACCUGAUUACCACUCAUUUGUAGGGCAGCUCUGCGGCC